UGUUGCGGCGUUCUACGUGUCGUUAACCCAUGCCUUUUCCCCUGGCAGGGUCCCCCGCAUGUGAAUGCUGCAUGUGACCCGAACUGCUAACGCGUCUGGAGAAAGUUGGACAUUGUGUUGCUCGGCGUACCUACCUGGAAAGAGUUUUUUACGGUCAGUUGGUCGUUACCAACUUCUCUGCUGCCACACACGCACUGCUGACAAUAGAUGUAGAAAGAAACGACCCAGUUGUUUAUUCCCAAUGUGUCAGUAGUGACGAGACAUUGCUAGUGGUGGCGGAGGCCACAUCAGUAAAAAACUCUUCCUCUUGCCAGUAGCUUAGACCAUUAACUAACCCAUUAACAAACGUUGACUUCCAGUCUCCAGACCCAUGUGCGUUGUCAUAUCAUCCUUCUUGACAUCAGUAGUUCGAAACUGUCUCUGUCAUCCACUAACUCCCACUGAUUGAAAGCAAGGUCACCAAAAUGGCAGAAGGUGGCGAACCUGCUGAUGGAGUUGACCGUCUCACAUCCC